UAAAGUUUUUAUAGAAACCGCCGAUGUACCUCAACGUCAGAUAAAUAUAUGUAAAUGCAAUGUAACACCAACAUUUUUUAACAGCAGCGUUUCAUUAGAUUUCCGGAAAUAUUCGCCGAAAAGUGAAAAAGUUUAUUUCAAAUUACACGACAUAGUGCUGAACAAAACAGACGAACGUGCUAACUCAACUUUUACUAAAGAAAAUGAGCUGGUUUUGGAAACAGGAUCUGAUUUUAACAUGAAGGAUGUUUGUCUUAUUAUAUCUACAGAUGGUAAAACAAAAUUCAAUAUAUCCUGUGAAGAGUCACAAUUGGCUGUUACACAAUCCACGGUUCAAGAGAUUACGAUUAGUGAACUUAAGACAAGUACAAAUUCAACAUUAGAAAAUAGCAGUGAUGUAGAUAUCUGUACUAUUGGUAUGAUGCGAAGGGCUUAAAUAAAAUUUCUAUAUAAACUUGAACUUGUUGCAAUUUUUAUAAUUUGCUACAAAAGGGGAGCCAAGAAACAGAAGAAAAAUGUGAGGACACCAAAACUAUCACAGGAAGAGAAUGAAACAUCUGCAAGAAACGACGGAGGUGAUAAUGAUUAUUAUAUGACAGAGAAUCCUUUGUAUAACAUGACUGAACCCAUAAUGGACAAAAAUGAGUCCCCUCUAUAUUAGCUUGUACUAAAACGUGCACCGAAUGAUGAACAAAGAAUGGAAGCAUAUGAUGAUAAUCCAGACUUACCAAAUAUUUUUACUCAACCUUUGGUUUUCCAGCAGACUGGCGAUAAUAAUAUAGCUGACUUUGAAAAGUUUGGUGACGCUACUGACAGUGGGUACACUGAAAUCGUAAACGUCGAUGUUGUCAGUGGUCUUUACAAUCAAAGGAAUGAUGUUUAAAACUAACCGUAAUACCGUCAUUUAAUUCUACAUGGUGUAUUUAUGAUAACAGAAAAGUUUACUUCAGAAAUGCUUUUCUUCUUUAUUUGUUUUACAAUUUUGGACCUUAAUUAUGCUAUUGACAUGGAAUGGCAAGUUAAUGUUUUAUGAUGACCAUCUUAGGAAUACAUCUGCAUAUUUUGAUACAAAUUAAAACGUAUUAUUUUUUACUAUUUAAUUCUGCUAGUACCAGUCUCAGUAAGCGGAAUUGCUUGUAUCAACCAUACAGGCUCAAUUGAAGCGAGCAAACAAUGUAUUACGGGCCGACCAAUGCGGUUCUGUUAUUUCACAUAACUCUAGUUUUCAGACGGAAAUAUAUAUCGGAUACAGUUAGCCGUUUUUAUAUUUGAAAGUAAGAAAAUUACACCACAUUCCAAAAUAUUUACAAACGAAAUC